rnacentral:rRNA from 2 species
UACGGAGGGUGCAAGCGUUAUCCGGAUUUAUUGGGUUUAAAGGGUCCGUAGGCGGACUCGUAAGUCAGUGGUGAAAUCUCAUAGCUUAACUAUGAAACUGCCAUUGAUACUGCGGGUCUUGAGUAAAGUAGAAGUGGCUGGAAUAAGUAGUGUAGCGGUGAAAUGCAUAGAUAUUACUUAGAACACCAAUUGCGAAGGCAGGUCACUAUGUUUUAACUGACGCUGAUGGACGAAAGCGUGGGGAGCGAAC